CUUUGGUUUGCGAUCUGGCAGAAGACUUCUCGUUGUUGAAUUCCACUUCCACAUAAAGCUGAGCACUGCCGAAUUUGCAAAGGAUAAAGAAAAUGCAACAGUUCCUGCUUGGGUAAAGUGAUUAAAAGCGGCUGUUUUGUCAAAAAUAGUAAGAAAAUUGGCAAUACAUUAUCUUUCAACUUUUGAGGUCCAAACAGUUCUGGCAGAAACUAACAUUCAGCACUGGACCUCCAAGUGAACUUCUGUAUUUGAAGAGUCGUGAAUGGCAAUGAACCUUGUGUAAUCAUCGCUGAACAUCUUCACUUCUGACCUUAUGAUAAAGGGAAGAUAAUGUAUGAAACAAAUGAAGACAGUUGAACAUUGGCACUGCCCUGGAGAACUCCUGUAUGAUAUUCUGGGUCUGAGCUGAUGGCUCUCCAACAACCACAACCAUCUUCCAUUUUGCUAGGACAAUGGAAGGAAUUAUUUUCUCAUGUCUGCCAGUAUCCAGAUUCCGAUGUGAAAUCUCCAGGAUGACCUAUGAAGAAAUUUGUGAAAUUUGAUGAUAAAAAUCAAUCUGAGAAGCUACUUUCUUCUGCUGCUGCUGCUAAUCUUAGGCUUUUUCUUGAGAUGGUUACUAUCAGCUUGGAAUCCUAAAAGGCAAAAGAUGUAAAGCAAGUAUCUUAGCCAGUACACCAAGAAUUCACACCGGUCUUCAAUAAAUGUAUCUUGGGAUCUCUAAUGUCCAUCUGAACCAGAAGAAUAGAUAAACAAGUCCUCAGUUUAAUGUCUCAACUGAAGAAUGGCAUCCACAAUAAUUUUGCACUAUAGUGUUUUAUCAAGGUUACAUGCUUUGCAGCAAGAAUGUAACUUAACACAUAAA